GUAGGGAAUCUUCCACAAUGGACGAAAGUCUGAUGGAGCAACGCCGCGUGAGUGAUGAAGGGUUUCGGCUCGUAAAACUCUGUUGUUGGAGAAGAACGGGUGUCAGAGUAACUGUUGACAUCGUGACGGUAUCCAACCAGAAAGCCACGGCUAACUACGUGCCAGCAGCCGCGGUAAUACGUAGGUGGCAAGCGUUGUCCGGAUUUAUUGGGCGUAAAGCGAGCGCAGGCGGUUUUUUAGGUCUGAUGUGAAAGCCUUCGGCUUAACCGGAGAAGUGCAUCGGAAACCGGGAGACUUGAGUGCAGAAGAGGACAGUGGAACUCCAUGUGUAGCGGUGAAAUGCGUAGAUAUAUGGAAGAACACCAGUGGCGAAGGCGGCUGUCUGGUCUGCAACUGACGCUGAGGCUCGAAAGCAUGGGUAGCGAACAGGAUUAGAAACCCUAGUAGUCCA
rnacentral:rRNA from 1 species